rnacentral:snoRNA from 2 species
GGAGCAGGUGAUGAGAACAAGACAGGGACAUCAGAACCCUCUUUUUGGGCAUGAUAGACUGAAGUCUUCAAUGGGAAUCUCUCUGAUGCUUU